GCUGAUUUAGCUCAGUCGGUAGAGCGCAUCCAUGGUAAGGAUGAGGUCGCCGGUUCGAUCCCGGCAAUUAGCA
rnacentral:tRNA from 3 species